rnacentral:rRNA from 1 species
UACGUAGGGGGCAAGCGUUGUCCGGAAUCAUUGGGCGUAAAGAGCGCGUAGGCGGCUCGGUAAGUCCGCUGUGAAAGUCCAGGGCUCAACCCUGGGAUGCCGGUGGAUACUGUCGGGCUCGAGUCCGGAAGAGGAGUGUGGAAUUCCUGGUGUAGCGGUGAAAUGCGCAGAUAUCAGGAGGAACACCAAUGGCGAAGGCAGCACUCUGGGACGUGACUGACGCUGAGACGCGAAAGCGUGGGGAGCAAACAGG